CCAUAGCCCGGAUUGCAGCGGUUACCCCACAACUAACGUUGGCAAAAGCCUUGGCGUGAGGAGUAUGAGCGGAAAGCCGGAAUAGCU
rnacentral:sRNA from 1 species